UGUCGACAUUAUAGUUGCGCAGGCACUUUGGUGACUCUAGAGAACCUCGGGCCAAUCGCACAUCCCUGUGAUGGCGACAAUGCAUUUGGAUGUCUGCCCUAUCAACUUUCCAUGGACUUUCUGCGACUACCAUGGUAAACACGGGUAACGGGGAAUCAGGAUUCGAUUCUGGAAUUCAGGGAGUCUGAGAAACGACUACCACAUCCAAGGAAGGCAGCAGGCGUGCAAAUUACCCACUCCCGACGCGAGAAAGUAGUGACGACA